UACGAAGGGGGCAAGCGUUGUUCGGAAUUACUGGGCGUAAAGGGCGCGUAGGCGGCUUAUCAAGUCAGGCGUGAAAUUCCCGGGCUCAACCUGGGGGCUGCGCUUGAUACUGAUUGGCUUGAAUGCGGGAGAGGAUAGUGGAAUUCCCGGUGUAGUGGUGAAAUGCGUAGAUAUCGGGAGGAACACCAGUGGCGAAGGCGACUACCUGGCCUGUUUCUUGACGCUGAGGCGCGAAAGCUAGGGGAGCAAACGGG
rnacentral:rRNA from 1 species